UCUCCUAUGGCGCAAUUGGUGGCGCGUCUGACUGUUAGACACUUGGUCAUGCGUACCUGAGCUUACAUAAUCAGAAGGUUGUUGGUUCGAUCCCAACUGGGAGAG
rnacentral:tRNA from 1 species